CGUUUGUUUUUGGUUUCAUACAAACUUUGUUAAGUUCAUGUUUGGAAAAAUAUGUGAGGAUACAUUUAUGUGAAAACAGACAGUUGAAGAUUAUAUUACUUCAUGUAAUCCAAAUGUGGAUAUAACCUGUGCUUUAAUGCAAAGCAGACAAAAAUAACAGAAAAUAAUUCAUGAUUGCAGAUACAAAGUUAAAAUGAAGUUGAAAAUAAAUAUAAUCCAAGUGAAUGGAGAACGAGCAACUGUUGUCCUGCGUCACUGAUUUCUCUGUAAUAUUUCUAAUAUUUCCAGAGCACUCCUAUCAGAGGAUUAUCUAUAUAUCUGCCAGCUGAGACCUAGCCGGGACCCGCUACACUGGAAUCCGUUAACAUGGACAUCACACUCCCGAGUCGAAUGCGCAAAGUCUGAACUACCGACGGUGAAUGUCCAAAAUCAGCGUACUUUGUAUUGAUAAAUGCGCUCGGACCUAAGUCACCAGACUCUUUGCCCAAUCUUCCUGGUACUUUACACCACGGUGGAAACGCAGAAAGCAACAAGUCUGUGAGGAAAAAAGUUCCUGGUACAAAUGUUCCAGGUAAUUUCGGUGGAAACUCGGCAUUAGGCUGUUCUAUGCUGAUGGCCUACACCCAAAGCUGAUUUGGACCAGAUGUUCUGAUGGACAACAUUUCCAAGAUAAUAUGCUAGUAAGUCUAAUCUCAAAUCAUCAUCUUAAACCUUUUUACUUUUUUGAUGUGUUUGUGCGUGUGUGUGUUUGUGUGUGUGUAGUCCAUCCUAUUCGGUUGUUAAGUGAUGACGUAAGAAGCGCUGUUUCCAGGUACAAGCCUCAACUCGCUUCACUUGAGAAUACUACAACCAAGUCGUUUAUAAGCACUGUUUAUUCAUAUUAAUCAUUUAAUCUAAACAUUUUCAAACUUACGGUGUAAACUAGAAUCCCUGUGCUAACAGUGUCCCAAACACAAAUAAUAUAUAUUGUGACGGGAGGAGCACAAGACAGACACAGUGGGCGUGGCGUCAUGCCUCGGAGAGACUUUUUUAUGAACAGAAAUCAAACAAAACAGGAUAAAAGGUGGCCAAAGGGGAAGUGUCCAAAAUAACAGGGAAUCUGGUGUCCUCGUCGUGCUGCAGGGUUUGUGUGGGUCGGGCAGUGUUCAUGGAGGAAGGGUCCAGGUAAAGGGCGGAGUCUGGCGGCGGCUUCCUCUAGCGGCCGCAUCACUCUCGUUGGCCGCGGCACUGGAAUGGGGUGGACGGCCCGGCAUCCUGGCCCGUCGGCCGUGUAACUGGUGCGGUUCUCCUCUGGAUCGUGGGUCCGGCAGCUCACGUCUCUUGUGGCGCGGGAGUCCCUCAACACACCCUUCCUGGACCCACGAGGACACCAGUGUGGAUGCAUGGGGAAGAAGCCGGUCUCCCGAGGAGAGGCGCCUUGGGCUUUUUAAACAGCGGCGGUGAUGAGGCUCCAUUUACUUCAGGUGUGCUCCAUCACACGCCGCCAGCCCUGACUCAUCCAGCGCCCCUCCUCUCACACACCCAUUCCAGUUGGGAGCCUGGUGAAGGGCAGCGAUUUAGGACGGGGUGCCUGUGAGAAUCAGGGAAGAGACAGCUGACUCGUCACAAUAUAUAUUGUGACGAGCACUCCCAGAGGAAUCAGCGUCGCCCUGGAAACCAAACCAAAACACCUGCACGUCCUCGUCACCGGCUGAUCGGUCACAGCUGCUCCCCAUCAGCCAGCACAUUGAAAAGCAGCACAUGUUGCACUGAGAAGAGGUUCUCAAACAGAACGCAAAGCUGGACUAACCCCUCUCUCCUAUCCCCACAGAAAGCAGCGAGUGACCGACAGCCCACACCCUUUGGAGCACGUCAGGACACCCACUUUCCCCUUGAUUGGCACAGAGGAGCACGGAGAGCACACGGGGAGCACCAACCAGCGGAAAGCAGAUCAGGACACUUCACCAGGCACCCUUCACUUUUCAAUAAACCCACCCUCCGGGGCUUUUGAUUUCA